GGGUCAGUAGGUUGGUCGUGCCACCGGUACGUACUGGUCUCACUGAUUCCUCCUUCCUGAAGAACCGUAAUGCCAUUAAUUUGGUAUUGCGGGGAAACAGGACUGUUACUUUGAAAAAAUUAGAGUGUUUAAAGCAAGCUAACGCUUGAAUACAUUAGCAUGGAAUAAUGAAAUAGGACGAUCGAUCCUAUUUUGUUGGUUUCUAGGAUUGACGUA
rnacentral:rRNA from 1 species